GAGGGUAUAGCUCAAUGGUAGAGUGUGGGCUUAGCAUGCACAAAAUCCUGGGUUCAAUAUCUAGUACCUCCA
rnacentral:tRNA from 1 species